rnacentral:tRNA from 1 species
UCCCUGGUGGCUCAGAGGUUAAAGCGUCUGCCUGCAAUGCGGGAGACCUGGGUUCGAUCCCUGGGUAGGGAA